UUCCGGUUGAUCCCGCCGGAGGUUACUGCUAUCGAGGUUCGACUAAGCCAUGCGAGUCGAAUGUAGCAAUACAUGGCGUACUGCUCAGUAACACGUGGACAACCUGCCCUUAGGACGGGGAUAAACCCGGGAAACUGGGUAUAAUACCCGAUAGGUCUCGAAUGCUGGAAUGCAUCGAGAUCUAAAGCUCCGGCGCCUAAGGAUGGGUCUGCGGCCUAUCAGGUAGUAGUGGGUGUAGCGUACCUACUAGCCUACGACGGGUACGGGUUGUGAGAGCAAGAGCCCGGAGAUGGAUUCUGAGACACGAAUCCAGGCCCUACGGGGUGCAGCAGGCGCGAAAACUUUACAAUGCUGGAAACAGCGAUAAGGGAACCUCGAGUGCCAGGUUACAAAUCUGGCUGUCGUGAUGCCUAAAAAGCAUUGCAUAGCAAGGGCCGGGCAAGACCGGUGCCAGCCGCCGCGGUAACACCGGCGGCUCGAGUGGUAACCGUUAUUAUUGGGUCUAAAGGGUCUGUACCCGGCCGGAUAAGUCUCUUGAGAAAUCUGGCAGCUUAACUGUCAGGCUUUCAGGAGAUACUGUCUGGCUCGAGGCCGGGAGAGGUGAGAGGUACUUCAGGGGUAGGGGUGAAAUCUUGUAGUCCUUGAAGGACCACCAGUGGCGAAGGCGUCUCACCAGAACGGACCUGACGGCAAGGGACGAAAGCUAGGGGCACGAACCGGAUUAGAUACCCGGGUAGUCCUAGCCGUAAACGAUACUCGCUAGGUGUCGGCCACGGUGCGACCGUUGUCGGUGCCGUAGGGAAGCCGUGAAGCGAGCCACCUGGGAAGUACGGCCGCAAGGCUGAAACUUAAAGGAAUUGGCGGGGGAGCACCACAACGGGUGGAGCUUGCGGUUUAAUUGGAGUCAACGCCGGG
rnacentral:rRNA from 1 species